rnacentral:rRNA from 1 species
AGCUCCAAUAGCGUAUAUUAAAGUUGUUGCGGUUAAAAAGCUCGUAGUUGGAUCUCGGCGAGCAGGGGGCGGUUCGCUAUUCGGCGCUACUGCCCCAUUUGCUCGUGUUGGUUUGACGGAAGCUCGGAGGUCCCCUUAAUUGGGUGUCUUCGGUCGCCGUCAGGUUUACUUUGAAAAAAUUAGAGUGCUCAAAGCAGGCUUACUAAGCUUGAAUAUUCGUGCAUGGAAUAAUGGAAUAGGAAGUCGUUCCUAUUUUGUUGGUUUUCGGGAAUUGACUUAAUGAUUAAUAGGGACAACUGGGGGCAUUAGUAUUCGGACGACAGAGGUGAAAUUCUUGGACCGUCUGGAGACUAACUACUGCGAAAGCAUUUGCCAAGAGUGUUU